rnacentral:lncRNA from 1 species
GCACAGUCCUGUCGUACAGACCAUUAUAGGUGGUUUCGACUCUUAGGUGACCCGCGAUUAUUCGCAAAGUCUUCACGUGAUCGUAGCACUUGAGCGUAAUUAUUUACUCUUAGUCUUGUCGUAUAGACCACUGUAGGUGGUUCCGACUCGUGUGUAGGCAUACUAGAUGAGCUAGAGGUUUAGCCGUACAGGCCACAGUAGGUGGAUCCGGCUAGCAUAUUACUUUCAUUGAUUUACUUCACCUGGUUUACUCGUUCUUGAUGCUUAGAUAUUUGACAUGGCAUAUAUGUGGAUUUUGCUAUUUCGAAUGUGGUUUCGAUAUAUGUAUGUACUCUAUUUUCUGGGAAACUAUACGAGUUUUACAGCGAGGGGGUUACUACCUUUGAUAAGUGAAAUGGUUUUUGAAAAGUUUUUGCUCACUCACAUUUUUUGUUUUCGCCUCUCCAGGUUCCAUUAGCAAAGUUUCAGUAUUGAUGAGGAUUCGUGGCAUAUCCUUUUAUGGGUGGCUUCCUAAGAUGGUAUAAGCCUUAUCUUACCUUACUGUACUUUACUUAUGCUCUGCAAUCACGUGUGAAGUGGGUUCAUUCCUGCUCACCUGCACACUAUGGUAUUUAGGCACUCUUAGGUUUAAAUUUAUUCACAUUUUCCCACAUCAUCACACUUUAUGGCUUCGUCGUCUUCCAGAUGUCGACCAUCACAGCUCAAUUCGGAGUCCUAGUGGACAUUUCGGGUCAGGGUGUGUCAGUUUGGUAUCAGAGCAUAAGUCGGGCAGUAUUGCAUCCAUCACACGAGUGAUGAAAGCAUUCUAUGUUCUUGGGCCUAAUUUUCCACCUCGUCGACUACAAAAAAUGUGUUAUUUUCCUAAGUUUUGGGCAGUUUUGCAGACUUGUUGAUAUUUUAGAAGGUCACUUUGGCAAACAUUUUUAGACUUAAAGAGAAGAACUUUCUUGCCAAGGAAAGACGUAGACUUGAGACUAGUUGAUGGCCCUAAAGCAGGGUUAAUGUAUCGAUAUCAAUGUAUCCAGGGGUUUAUAAAUCUAUUCCAUCAUUAUUCUUUAGCCAUCAUUAUCAACCCUUUCGAGAUAGGAAACUAGAAUUGAUUUUGAUCCCUUGGCAGUAUUCAUUAGUAUACCAUUUAUUAGGAUUUCUACGAAGUUUACUACGUUAAGAUUCCAAAAAUUGUCUUAAGUGAUAGUAGGGUGCUAAAAGGAUAACACUUGACAUAAGAACAUUAGGGGGAACAAUCAUUUUUGGUCCCUGAUAGUACUAAUCCUCUUAAACACUAGUUAUCAUUUUGGAUCAUCAGGAGGAAGAUCGACUUCUGUUUAAACUUGUUUUAAAGUAGAUUAUUAGUAAAUUUCCCUUUCUAGCUUGGGAAUCCUAACCAAUACCAGUACCUGAAUUUCUUUUGGUGAUGUGCUCGUCAUUUCGAUGAGUAUAGGCACCAGAGUGCGAGUUGUUAUACCUAUGAAUGGUGCAAAAUCUUUGAGGUACCGAGUAUUUCCCCUAGAAUUAUGGAACCCCUCAUAGGACCAAUUCCUUAGCAGUUGUCUAAAAACCACUACCUGAGCGGGCUCUUGUCUGUAAUCAGCCUAUAGUGGCGCUAUUAAUUGACGAUAUUAUUUUAUAUCCAUGAACUGUCAAUCAGUAUUCGGGCAGUAUGAUUUCUGAUACCAGAGACUUGCUAGUAUCUGGAAGUGAUACCCUUGUGCCAAAAUGCCGAUGUACAUUUUCAAGGUAGCAAACAAUAUCAAAAUCAUCGUAUAUGUGUCAAUUAGCAGCACGACAAAUAGAUUUGAUUAACAAUGACUGUUGAAGCUGAAGAAACUAAAUUUCGAAAAGUUAGGAGCAAGCUUUGUAGUAGGACAGUAAACUCAUAGUUGUUUCUACCUUAUCACCUAUCUAGGUAAACAUAAUAUUUUCGACUAGUCACCUUCUGCAUCAGUUCUACGGGAAGAUAAGAGAAUCGAAGUACGAGUUAAUUUCUCACUGUUAGAGUGAGCUGAGUAUUUAGAAAGCUUUGAGGACCUAUUAGCAUGCGGCGUGGUGAAAGGAAAUAUUAUGUUACGUUUUAAAGACGUACAUUCAGGCGACAUAUUCCAAAGCCUUACCUGAGAUAUUAUCAUCGAUCUACUUUUUCAUAUUACACUAGUUUCCUUGGGUCCAUUCGAGCAACUCCUAUAUCAGUUUUCCUUUUGACUUUUCGAUCGAGUCUUACUUCGUUAAGAGAACUUAGUUAUUAAAGCUUACUAAUUGGGGAAGUACCCAAUCAAACAUUUUAUCUAGGGAACUUCAAACUUAUUCACAAAGGCGAAAGACUGAACCCUAGGUUUGUACCUAGAUUUUAGCAACUUGAUCGGUUAAAACCCUACUUCGAACUGAUGGUCUAGUCAACCAACCUUUGUAAUCCAAGUUUGCCUUCAUGGUGUGAUGAAUUUGUAGCGGUCUUAUUGGUGAUUUUUGUUGGAAAUGUGCCCUAAAACCAAUCAUAUGAUGAUACUUUACAGACAUUUCACAAAGUUAAACUAAUGUAGUUUAAAUAUAAAAGGCAAAGAUUAUUGUUUGAGCCAUCUCAUAUAAAUGUUAUAUGCUUAAACGAUAAGUCCAAGGAAUAUGUGAUUGGGAGAAUGCAAUCUAAAGAAGUUAGAUUCAUGAGACCAUUCUUUCGUAGACACAUCCUAAACGUUCCUGAUCAUAGGAUUGCCAAUUGGGCAUUGACAGUCCGUUAAGAUCAGUACGUGCUGUGUCUUCUCUCAGGGAGACUGACUAGUCUCGAGUCAUUGGUGUGUGUGACAUCAAGACAAGUACGUAGGUGCUCAAUAGAGAAUGAGUUCACUGAACACAAUCAACGAAGAGUUCUCAUAUUCAUGUCACAUGAGAACUCAUGGUUGGGAUAAUGCAAAGUAGUCCUUUGACCUGAGGCAUCACAGUUGUCUUGUGGUUAAGUCCUUGAUCUUUGAUUAUGUCAAAGUCACCCCAUCCGCGGGUGUCCACGACAUCGUUGGGGUUAAGCCACUUAGCCAUGGAGGCAAUUGAAUGCGCAACAAGUGAUCUCUAACCUUCAAACCGUUUGGGGGAGAAUACUCUAUGAUAUGAUUGAAAAUCUCUGAUCAGAGUAUGAAUGAGAUUUAGGAAGGCGUUCCAAAUCACAUUCAAGGUAAUCAUAUAAGUAAACGAAUCACAUUGGAUAGUAGACAUGAAUAAACUAUCAAACCAAACAAUGUGGUCAAGAGUAUUGUAUUAGAGAAAUACCGUAUUGCAUUUGUAAUCCUAAACUGAAUAGGUUAUCCACCUCUUCUGAUUAGCUUGGGUAACCAUGAUAUGCUGCUAGGUGUCACUUAUGGUUUGUGGAAGCCCUAAACGUGUAUAAUCACUAAAGGGAGAAUUGAAAGUAAGUUUCAAUUCACAAUCGGUUUGAAAGAGUUCUAAUCACCCACUGCCUCGCUAAAAGGAACCAAAUGGAUCGUACACCGUGUAAGGUAAAGAUUGAAGAAACAACGGAGAUGAGUAAG